AAGAAAAAAAAAAACGCUACGAACAAACCUGGGUUUUCUUCUCUGGGUUUUCUUCUCUACAAACCAAGGUUUUGAUCUGAAGAAAACAUUCUAUGUGCAGAUGAGAUCGUCCAGGCUUCAAACAAACCUUUCUAAUGGUACAAGGUAAUCAAAAUUCUUGCUUCUUUUUGGUUAUCGGUUUGUAUUUUUCUACUUCUCUCCGUUCUACUUCUCUCCGUUUUAAUUCAUCAUCGUUUUCCUUUUUCUUUUUUUCGAUUAUAUACUAAUGGUUUCUUUUAUAGAUUUUGAUAUGGUUUCAUUCAUCGCUCCGUUGAUAGAAUUGAUUAGAAUGAUUGUAUUUUGUUUCUUUGAUGUUGUGAUCUUUGACGAAAUAGUACAACCAGAUUAAAAAAAAUAUAUAAACAAGCCUUAUCCUUUCGUCUUCUCCAACUAGCCGUAGCAACCAUGGUAAGAAUAACAAAACCCGAAUCUCUCUUUCUGUUUAUUUUCUUAUCCUAAUCCUAUGAAUGUUGAGAUGCAUUCUUCCCUUUCUUCUGAAGAUGGUAGCAGGAUGAAUCUCAAUCUCAUAACACGCCGCACAGUUUCCGCAUCUUAAUCUUUUUAGUUUUUUUUUUUAUUCCUAAUAACCUUGAUAGUAUUUCAGUGAGUGAGUUUUAUAAAUUUUUGUAUUUCUUUUAUUGAUUUUUAUAUUGAUUUUUUCCCCAGGAAACGACAAUCAAUUUCUUUGAGUUUUUAACCUCUCUAACUUUUAAUCAGUUUCCAUGAUAAAUCAACUUGACGUGGGAGUUGAUUGUUGAUCUAUUGAUUGGUUAGUGGAGAUAUAUGUAUUUACUGGAAUCAGUUGUGGACGUCCAAGCAUAAAACCAGCACAUGAUGCUGCUAUAUUCUCUCUUAUCGCAUCUGUGCAUAGGGGCUAGGGUAUUUGGCGCUUAAGGCCACCGAAUGUUGCAACUUUGAGACCCCGGAGAGGUGGGCGUUGAAAGCAUCGCCAUACUGUGAACAAAGAAAGCUGGCAGGAAAUGGUCCUCUCUGAUAUAGGUGGCCAUCGAAAGCAGAUAUGAGACUCUGGAUGGAGGAAUUUAGUCAGAGUCAGAUAGAACGAUCUACUCUCCGAUAAAUGCGAUUGCAUUCUGCUCUAUUCAGAUUGCUAGAGAUCAAGGUUGAACUGCAAUUUUGACCGGAAUAACAUCAUUGUCGUCGAUCCUUCGACUCAAGAAGACAAAAACCUGCAAGUAACAACAGUCAUCUUAAUUUUAUCCACCUUUAAAUAUUCUCGGCUAUCACAUAUAAUAUUUUAUGAAUUUAUACCCAACAAGGGAGAGGGCUGACUGUAAUUCAUGGGGCAGAAUGUGAAAGAAGUAUUUAUUUAGAUGAAUUGUUCUGCGUGCCAAGCAGGACAUUGAAGGGUUCCAUAUUUGGAGGAACCAAACCUUGCUAUGAUCUUCUUAUCAUGGUCGAAAAUGAAUAAGGUACAUGUUCAACAGCAUGAUGAGUACGAUAUCUCAGAAGUAGUUUAGCGAGACCAGUGUUCAUUUUGUUGUCAAAUGGGAAAGUGCAUAUGAAGAAUGGUUGACCCCUAACUAAUCGAAACACAUAAUUUCUAUUAUACUCUCAUCAAGACACAACUUUAAUAAGAUUACAGAAAUGGGGACUUAGGGGAAGCCGAGCUUUACCAAAUCAUAUCGGGACUGGGGAGAGGCGAAGACGAGCUUUACCAAAUCAAAUGGUAACUUGGGCGAGGCGAAGCCGAGCUUUACCAAAUCAAAUGGGAACUUGGGAGAAGCCGAGCUUUACCAAAUCAUAUCGGGACCGGGGCGAGGCGAGGCGAGGCGAAGCCGAGCUUUACCAAAUACAAAAUAUGGUUCAAAGUAAGAGACACUGAUGCAUUGUAUUUGUAGUUUGUAGUUGUAGAUUGAAUUGGUGAACCAAGUUUGAGAAGCUGCCCGGACGUAGCACGGGCACAAAAUCUAGUUAGAAUAACGACCAUAUGUGGUUAUCCGACGGUCAAUUCCGUGAUUAGAUUCAAACGGUGGGAAGGGGCCUAAUUCUAUCACUAGGAUACCUGAGGGGUGUGUUUGUGAAAGCGCCCACACACAUACUGUCAGACAGGAUGCACCGGGGGAAAAAUCCCUCCCCAAAGCGUGCUUGGGAUAUUAGCCCAUGAUGUUCUAUCAUUGUGUUCGAAAAAUGGUGAAAACCCGGUUUAAACAUUGAACCAUGUUUUAAUUAUAGACUUGAAAAUAGUUCAAUUGGGCAUCCUUUAAAACAAGGAGUGAUAUGGUCCAACUUGUAUAUCUAAUAUGUUUUUCUUUAGCGAUAAAAAAAAGGUAUCCAACAACUGUGAUUUUAAUCUUAAGAAAAUAUAAAAUAA